ensembl:lncRNA
GGCUGGUGGAGCCCCCUGGCCGGCUUCCAGGCAGACUGUGUUCUGAGCUGGGCUUCUCGUGGCCCGGAUGCCAGCAUUUGGCUGUCGCUUCUCUGAAGCUGUUUAAUUUCUCCGGAGAAGAGCCUUGCACCCCUGCCUGGCUUUGGGAGCGAGAAUAGAGUAGGAGAAGCCGGACCCUCUGCUGAGGCCUGCAGUUCAGUCGUUCUCGGCUUCUGCCCGUUCCCUGGACGCCUGGACCCAGGGUGAAGGUGGGCCCUGCUGGGGAGCUGGAGGACAGCGGGGCACCCACAGGUUCCCUCUUUGUAUCCCCCGCUGUUCCCCAGGCCUGUGGGCUCACGGUGUCCUCUGUCCACACCCCUCUGAGCCCGGAAACUUCCUGACCUCUCUUGUUUCCCUGCUUUGUCUUUCCCUCUCCCCAUCCUUGUGGUUUUAUAUCACUUAUCAUGUUCAUUGUUUCUUUUUUUUAAUCUAUUUUUCUUCCUUUCCUCCCAUUUUAGUUUUGGGGGAAAGCCAUAAUAACCAUAGGUAGACAGUCACCAUCAUAUCUCUUUUUAAGGAAAUGUUCCUCAAAAUUGGUUCAAAUCAUAAAAAUAAUUCGUGUACAUUUAGACAUCACAGAAGUAGAAAGAACCAAAAAUAUAGUAAUCUAUUGGAGGCUGAUCAGACCCUCAAUCACUUACUCAAGUGUAUGAUGGUGAGAUUAAAAAAGAGAAGAUCUUACUGCAUAAAGGAGGGGCCCAGGGCGGUCAUGGCUCUCAUCAGGCUAAGACACUGUCUCCGGGGCUCGCCAGUAUUUACUGAACACGCAGCUCCUAGAAGGGGUAAGGGCAGAGCAGCGAACAGUGGAGUGGAGGGGGCUGAUUUGAGCAGGGUCCUAGCAACAAGGGAACGAGACAUUCUAGCAAGAGCAGCUCAUAGAUAAAUGGGAGAUUUGUUUCUUCGAGCGGAUUAAUUUUGCCUCUCUAGGAGUUUUCUGUACGAGUUGUGCUGCCCUUAGCGGCACUACUGUCUUGCUAUGCAAGACGUCACAGCAUCACGGAUCAUUGAGACUUCCGCUCUGACCAGUGGUGUGGGGAGUUGUUCCGUUCCCGCACACCAGCUGCCGGCUUUUCAGGCAAGCAUGGUGGGCUAAGAGGCAGACUCAGACUUUUACUAUGAAAGCCAAUUUAUAUGAAUGUGCAGCUCCCUCAGGGUGGUUUCCAUCAGUCAUCCCACUCAUAAGGCACAUUUCCUUCUUACUGUUCUUCAAAGAAUUGUACACAUUUGACAUCAGUCUGUAAAGAUAAUUUUUAUGUUUUGCUCUUUCACUUAUAGUAUUGCAAUGAAAGUUUCCUAUGUUAUGAAACUUCUGGAGAUGUUUUGACAAUAAUUGAUCCUGUGUUGCACAAAAGUUUACUUAGUUAUCUCCUGCGGUUUAGCCUCUAGGCUGUUUUCUAUUAGUUCAUGCUCACGACCUUUGCACAGAAAGCUUGUUUUAUUUUAAAAUUUUUAAAUUUGAGAAGUUUUGUCAUAGAGCAAUAUAGUGGAAGAAAUGCCAGCUUCCAGAUAGACAUUCUUGUCGUAAUCCCCAGAACCCAGGAAGGUGACCUUAUUUGGGAAAAGGGUUGUUGCAGGUGUCACAAAAUGAAGAAUCUUGAAAGGCGAUUUUCCUGGAUUGACUGAGCGGCCUACAGCACGAUGACCAUGUUCUUGGGAGAGAGGAGGGGUCACAGGCUGAGGAAGUGGCUGCCUCCACAGCUGGAAGAGCCCAGGAACAGAAUUUUCUGUCAGCACUGUGGUUGUGGAUUUCUGGCCUCCAGUUCUGCUGUUUGAUGCCAUCGAGUUUGUGGUACUUUGUUACGGUUGCCCCAGAAAACAGACGGGUAAAUUCUUAGAAAUGGUGGCGUUGGUCACAGAUAUGAAUGUUUGCAUGGAAGUUAAGUUAGAAAAAGCGUGCACACCCUUCCUACCUGGCUUACACCCUCCUUUUAUCUGAUGCAUUUCUUUCCUGUCAUUGCUUCAGCAUUUACUGAGUGGCGGGUACAUCACAGCACGGGAAACCUUCAAGGGGUUGAGGGUGCCUUUUUCUGUUCAAUGCUGGGGGUUGAACCCAGGGGCUUUGCAGUGAGCUGCAUCUCCAGGCUCUUUUUAAUGUUUUAUUUGGAGACAGGGUCUCGCUAACCCACUAAAUUACCCAGGCUGGGCUUGAGCUUUCAGUCUUCCUGCCUCAGCCUCCCAGAGUGCUGAGGGUAGAGGUGUGCCCCACCAUGCCCGGCUGGGGGCUCUGUUAUGUUCCCCGGUGGUCCCUGGUGCUUAGAGUCCUGCCUGACCCGGGACAGACACUCCGUGUUAAUUUACCGACUGGCUGGUGAUGGGGUACAUGUCACAGUAACUCGUGGCCCCUCCUGGCCAGUGAGGGGUUAGGGAGGACCUGCAGGAAGCUCUAAUGUUGGGUGCGUCUGCUGGGGUACCAGGGAGGCCAGAGGCAGGGGCUCUCGGACCGGAGUCACUGAGAGGUACUGCCUGUGCUGAGUCUUGGAGGACAGUGGCCCCGGGGGCACGGUACCAGGCAGAACCUUCACCCCUUGGUCGGUCACCUUUGCUGCCACCUGCCGGGAACCUUUGGCGACCUGUUUCUCAGGGUGCCCUGUCGGUGGGCCCCAGACUCUGGACAUGCACUGCCACCCUAGAUGGCCCAGUGUGACCAUCCUGGCCCUAACCGGUCUUUUCUUCUGCUCCACAAACCAGCAGCGGGGCUCCCGUGAGAGGGAGCUCGAGUGGCAGUGCCCUUGCCUGCAGUCGGGUUAACAGGCUUCGCGGAGAGCCGGACCCUGCUGCACCGAUAAACCUGCCUCUGGGCCCGGGGCAGGCGCAGGGGGUGAAGCCACGUCCCGGCAAAGAGCCCUGACGGUGACCGACCGCUGUCCACACCGGGCUGCGCCCCAGGCCGCCUCUGCGCCACCUCCCAAGCCGCCUGGGUUUGCGUCCGCCGUUUAAUGAGGCCUCCUUCCGAGACUCCAGAAAAGUGUUUUCGGGCGCGAGGCACAGAGUUGGUCAAGGCAGACAGUGCUGGCAGCAGGCCUUGGGCUGGGCAAGCGGAGAAGUAAGGACUCACUGGACUGAUUCAUUGACUCCACUGAGCGGCCCGAUUGGACUUGUGUGUUCUGAAGCAUAACGAGAAGCAUCACUGCUUCACAUUUUUCCCAAAGGGAGGACUUUUAAAAAUUUGAUAGGUUAAAUUAAAAGAAUUUUUUUUUGAGUCAAGGUCUCCCUGUGUAGUUCAGACUGGUCUAGAACUCACAGAGAUCUUCCUGCCUCAGCCUCCCAAAGUGCUGGAAUUACAGGCACCACACCCAGCAUUCAUGAAACAACUGUUGAAAUGCUCUGUCUACAUUUGUAACAUGAGAGACUUUUCCAAGACUACAGCAUUUUUUUCAGCUCCAUAAUAAGUUUUUAAAAAAUGUUUUGAUUCAUGUAUGUUUGUGAUACAUAGUAACUACAUUCCCCUUGCUGAAUUGAUAUGUAUAUAAAUAUAUUGCAUUGCAUCUUGGUCUUUUUCCUCCUGCUCCUCCUUCCCCCCCCCCAUCUCCACAGAGUCUACUUCCUUGUUUCUUAUUGUUUCUUUUAUUUUGCUCUUUAUGUUAUUUAUAUUUUUGGUUUCUCUUAUUAGAAAGCCAUGUUAUAUUUAAGCUUCUGUAUCUGUUUUAUUUCAUUCAGUAUUUCAGUCUCAAGACUCAUUUAUUUCCCUACAUGUAACUGGAAUGUACCUUCUUUAUGGCUGAGUAGUACUCCACCGGUUGCUGCAGACAUCACUGCACAUAGGAGUCAUCCGGGAUCAUGCAGAUUCUGGGUGUGCAUUUCUAACAAGCUCCCCACUGUUGCAUCUCCUCUGCCUGCAGGGUGAAGCAUGAGAAUCUGGUCAGGUGCACACUUUGCAGACUUCUAUCUGAGCCGCCAGAGGUUGGUUUUGGGGCUGUUUUACCCGUUCCAGGGUAUUUUGUCUUUAGCACAUUAGGACGCUUGAGUUUUUCUUUAUCCUGUGGGUUAUUUCUUUAUAACCAUGGUCUCCAGGGGGCCGGCACUCACCAGUUUGCUUUGAAGUCACCUCUGAGAGGCUCCUUGGACUCCUCAACGCCCAGCGGGACUAUGGAUGGCGCCAGGCUUAACUGCUUUGGGCCCAGCUAAGCGCCUCAAGUGGCGUCAGCCAACGUGGCUUCCGGAGAAGAACAGUUGCUUCAACUGCAGCCUCUGCAAGAGAGCGCCGCACCACGGAGCACCAGCAGAUGGCGC